GGUUAAGCGACUAAGCGUACACGGUGGAUGCCCUGGCAGUCAGAGGCGAUGAAGGGCGUGCUAAUCUGCGAUAAGCGCCGGUAAGGUGAUAUGAACCGUUAUAACCGGCGAUACCCGAAUGGGGAAACCCAGUGUGAUUCGUCACACUAUCAUUAACUGAAUCCAUAGGUUAAUGAGGCGAACCGGGGGAACUGAAACAUCUAAGUACCCCGAGGAAAAGAAAUCAACCGAGAUUCCCCCAGUAGCGGCGAGCGAACGGGGAGGAGCCCAGAGCCUGAAUCAGCAUGUGUGUUAGUGGAAGCGUCUGGAAAGGCGCGCGAUACAGGGUGACAGCCCCGUACACAAAAGCGCAUGUGCUGUGAGCUCGAUGAGUAGGGCGGGACACGUGGUAUCCUGUCUGAAUAUGGGGGGACCAUCCUCCAAGGCUAAAUACUCCUGACUGACCGAUAGUGAACCAGUACCGUGAGGGAAAGGCGAAAAGAACCCCGGCGAGGGGAGUGAAAAAGAACCUGAAACCGUGUACGUACAAGCAGUGGGAGCACAGGUUUACCUGUGUGACUGCGUACCUUUUGUAUAAUGGGUCAGCGACUUAUAUUCUGUAGCAAGGUUAACCGAAUAGGGGAGCCGGAGGGAAACCGAGUCUUAAUUGGGCGUUAAGUUGCAGGGUAUAGACCCGAAACCCGGUGAUCUAGCCAUGGGCAGGUUGAAGGUUGGGUAACACUAACUGGAGGACCGAACCGACUAAUGUUGAAAAAUUAGCGGAUGACCUGUGGCUGGGGGUGAAAGGCCAAUCAAACCGGGAGAUAGCUGGUUCUCCCCGAAAGCUAUUUAGGUAGCGCCUCGUGAAUUCAUCUCCGGGGGUAGAGCACUGUUUCGGCUAGGGGGCCAUCCCGGCUUACCAACCCGAUGCAAACUGCGAAUACCGGAGAAUGUUAUCACGGGAGACACACGGCGGGUGCUAACGUCCGUCGUGAAGAGGGAAACAACCCAGACCGCCAGCUAAGGUCCCAAAGUCAUGGUUAAGUGGGAAACGAUGUGGGAAGGCCCAGACAGCCAGGAUGUUGGCUUAGAAGCAGCCAUCAUUUAAAGAAAGCGUAAUAGCUCACUGGUCGAGUCGGCCUGCGCGGAAGAUGUAACGGGGCUAAACCAUGCACCGAAGCUGCGGCAGCGAACGUAUCACUUAAAGCGAUUCAGCGGGUUACGAUUGACGGAGCGAAGCGACGUCAAAGCGUAUACAAAGUCGAGUCGGUUUAAGGAUACGUUCGUUGGGUAGGGGAGCGUUCUGUAAGCCUGUGAAGGUGGCCUGUGAGGGUUGCUGGAGGUAUCAGAAGUGCGAAUGCUGACAUAAGUAACGAUAAAGCGGGUGAAAAGCCCGCUCGCCGGAAGACCAAGGGUUCCUGUCCAACGUUAAUCGGGGCAGGGUGAGUCGACCCCUAAGGCGAGGCCGAAAGGCGUAGUCGAUGGGAAACGGGUUAAUAUUCCCGUACUUGGUGUUACUGCGAAGGGGGGACGGAGAAGGCUAUGUUGGCCGGGCGACGGUUGUCCCGGUUUAAGCGUGUAGGCUGGUUUUCCAGGCAAAUCCGGAAAAUCAAGGCUGAGGCGUGAUGACGAGGCACUACGGUGCUGAAGCAACAAAUGCCCUGCUUCCAGGAAAAGCCUCUAAGCAUCAGGUAACAUCAAAUCGUACCCCAAACCGACACAGGUGGUCAGGUAGAGAAUACCAAGGCGCUUGAGAGAACUCGGGUGAAGGAACUAGGCAAAAUGGUGCCGUAACUUCGGGAGAAGGCACGCUGACACGUAGGUGAAGUGAUUUACUCAUGGAGCUGAAGUCAGUCGAAGAUACCAGCUGGCUGCAACUGUUUAUUAAAAACACAGCACUGUGCAAACACGAAAGUGGACGUAUACGGUGUGACGCCUGCCCGGUGCCGGAAGGUUAAUUGAUGGGGUCAGCGCAAGCGAAGCUCCUGAUCGAAGCCCCGGUAAACGGCGGCCGUAACUAUAACGGUCCUAAGGUAGCGAAAUUCCUUGUCGGGUAAGUUCCGACCUGCACGAAUGGCGUAAUGAUGGCCAGGCUGUCUCCACCCGAGACUCAGUGAAAUUGAACUCGCUGUGAAGAUGCAGUGUACCCGCGGCAAGACGGAAAGACCCCGUGAACCUUUACUAUAGCUUGACACUGAACAUUGAGCCUUGAUGUGUAGGAUAGGUGGGAGGCUUUGAAGUGUGGACGCCAGUCUGCAUGGAGCCGACCUUGAAAUACCACCCUUUAAUGUUUGAUGUUCUAACGUGGACCCGUAAUCCGGGUUGCGGACAGUGUCUGGUGGGUAGUUUGACUGGGGCGGUCUCCUCCUAAAGAGUAACGGAGGAGCACGAAGGUUGGCUAAUCCUGGUCGGACAUCAGGAGGUUAGUGCAAUGGCAUAAGCCAGCUUGACUGCGAGCGUGACGGCGCGAGCAGGUGCGAAAGCAGGUCAUAGUGAUCCGGUGGUUCUGAAUGGAAGGGCCAUCGCUCAACGGAUAAAAGGUACUCCGGGGAUAACAGGCUGAUACCGCCCAAGAGUUCAUAUCGACGGCGGUGUUUGGCACCUCGAUGUCGGCUCAUCACAUCCUGGGGCUGAAGUAGGUCCCAAGGGUAUGGCUGUUCGCCAUUUAAAGUGGUACGCGAGCUGGGUUUAGAACGUCGUGAGACAGUUCGGUCCCUAUCUGCCGUGGGCGCUGGAGAACUGAGGGGGGCUGCUCCUAGUACGAGAGGACCGGAGUGGACGCAUCACUGGUGUUCGGGUUGUCAUGCCAAUGGCACUGCCCGGUAGCUAAAUGCGGAAGAGAUAAGUGCUGAAAGCAUCUAAGCACGAAACUUGCCCCGAGAUGAGUUCUCCCUGAGACUUAGAGUCUCCUGAAGGAACGUUGAAGACGACGACGUUGAUAGGCCGGGUGUGUAAGCGCAGCGAUGCGUUGAGCUAACCGGUACUAAUGAACCGUGAGGCUUAACCUU
rnacentral:rRNA from 1 species